rnacentral:rRNA from 1 species
UACGUAGGGGGCAAGCGUUGUCCGGAUUUAUUGGGCGUAAAGAGCGUGUAGGCGGCCAGGUAGGUCCGUUGUGAAAACUGGAGGCUUAACCUCCAGCUGUCGAUGGAAACCAUCUGGCUAGAGUCCGGAAGAGGAGAGUGGAAUUCCUGGUGUAGCGGUGAAAUGCGCAGAUAUCAGGAAGAACACCCGUGGCGAAGGCGGCUCUCUGAGACGGUACUGACGCUGAGACGCGAAAGCGUGGGGAGCGAACAGG